UUGAAGUUUAUCACUCAUUUUAUUAAGGUUUGUUCUUGAUUUAUGGCGUUCGAACGUGUUUUCUUUUAGAAAAUUAGAUGCACUCUCUCGCACACCGUAGCGGGGAUGAAAUGGAGAAGUUUACUGAUACUUGGAUCAGAAAGAUUUGUUUACAUCUAACCUGUAAAAGUGAAACUAAUUCAAUGUUGCUCAAGAAACAAAAUGAAUGCGAGCACCUUUGGCAGUGGCACUGAGUCAUUCAGCUUCUCUGGGGCCAUAAAACACAUCACGUCCACGUUACAAUCUAAGAUAUCGUCCGUCCGUUCUGUCAAGUCCAGCGUGUGUUUCGUUGAGGUUGCUGAGUAAGGUGGCCCAAAUCCGACGUCGAGAAUACAUGAAUGUCAUUUUGGCACAAAUUUCCUUAAGGUCAACAUCAAGCAUAGAAUGAGAACAUCACGAAGUAAGAAAUACGAGGAGGAAAGAAAAACUGGACAACUUUCUACCUGG